rnacentral:guide_RNA from 1 species
AAACAACAAUAGAGUAUAUCAUGGACUGUGUAUGAAGUAUAAAUU